UACGUAGGUGGCAAGCGUUGUCCGGAAUUACUGGGCGUAAAGGGCGCGUAGGCGGUCUUGCAAGUCCUGUGUGAAAUCCCUCGGCUCAACUGAGGAACUGCACAGGAAACUGCUUGGCUUGAGUUCGGGAGAGGGAAGCGGAAUUCCGGGUGUAGCGGUGAAAUGCGUAGAUAUCCGGAGGAACACCGGUGGCGAAGGCGGCUUCCUGGACCGACACUGACGCUGAGGCGCGAAAGCUAGGGGAGCAAACGGG
rnacentral:rRNA from 1 species